CACAUGAACCUUUAUUUAACUGACAAAAGUACAAAAAAAAAAGAUUUUCAAUAGUUUUACUGACCAACUUAAUUGUAUUUCAUUGAUUAGAAAAUAAAGACAGAUAAACUCUCGUUAUGCCCAGAGAACUCGCCGGCGUUUCUGCAUAGAGAUGAAUUAUGGCUUCUUCCUUGCGUAAUAAAGUUUCAAGUUGCAUUUCUGGACGCAGCGACGGUCUGCGUUAAGUAACAAUGGUUUUCCGAAAUACUCCCGAGCCCAGCUGGCUAUAAUUGUCACAGAAGCAUGACGGUUUCUUAGGCUGUGCCGCCAGAGGACUCGAAGAACACGUGCAUUCAACAAUGGUUUCCGACCUUGCCCUUUACGCACUGAGAUGGCUCUGAAUUCUCUGAAUCUUUUCACAAUAUUAUGUACUUCUUAUGUUAAAAGACCUAAAUUCUCUUCAAUCUUGUAUUGAGGAAUGUUUCUUUUGAACUGACUACCAAUUCUCUCACGAAUUUUGGCACAAAGGGGUGAGCUACGACCCAUCCUUGCUUGCAAAGACUGAGCCUUUGAUGGACGCUACUUUUAUACCCAGUCAUGAUAGCUCACCUGCUACCAAUUAGCCUGCUUAAUGUGGAGUCUUCCAAACCGGUGUAACUUGAAUAUUCUGUGCACUUUUCUAUCUUAUUUUAUCUCUGUCCCAACUUUUGUUGAGUGUGUUGCAGCCAUUCAAAGUCAACACCACCUCCGCAGUGACCAUCAGCACUGGUGCACCACAAAGCUGUGUGCCUGGUGCUUGGUGAUGGUGUGGCUAAGUACAACUCCAAGGCCAUAUUUAGGUUUGCAGAUGACACCACCGUUGCUGAAUGAUACAAAGGUGGUGACAAAUUUGCCAUCAGGAGGGAGAUGGAGGAUCUGGUUGAAUGGAGCCACGACUACAAGCUCUGACUCAACAUCAGCAAAACUAAGAGCUGAUCAUUCUCUGCAAGAGUAAGAAACAGGAGGUCCAUGAGCCAGUCAUCAUCAGUGUACUGGAGUAGAGAGUCGGUAACUUUCAAUUGCUUGUCAUUAUCAUUUCAGAGGAUCUGUCCUGGGACGGACAGUAAGUGCCAGUAUAAAGAAGGUGCGGCAGUGACUCUACUUAGAAGUUUGUGAAUAAUCGACCUGACAUCUAAAACUUUGACAUAAUUUAUUUGGAUGCACGGUGGACAGUAUCCUGACUGGUUGCAGCAUGGCCUGAUAUGGAACCACCAAAACCCAGGAACAGAAAAUGCCUACAUAAAAUAGUGGAUACAGCCCAGUUCAUCACAAGCAAAGCCCUCCCAUCAUUGAGUUCAUUUUCAUGGUGUGCUGCUACUGGAAAGCAGCAUCCAUCAUCAAGGGCAGCCUUCCUCUGCUCCAUGCUCUCUUCUCGCUGCUGCCAUUGGGAAGGACGUACAGGAGCCUUAAGUCCCACACCACCAUCUUCAGGAAGAGUUAUUACACUUAAGAGUUAUUAGUCCUGCUGUUGAAACAGCGUGGAUAACUUCACUGAACUGAUUCCAUAAACUACAGAGACACUUUCAAGUAAUCUGCCACUCAUGUUCUCAGAUUUGUUAUUUUUUAUUAUUUGCACAAUUUGUUUUAUUUGGCACAUUUGUUGUCUGUCAGUCUUUACUGUUUAUAGUUUUCAUAAAUUCCAUUGCAUUUAUUUUGCUGUAUAUCCCUGAAAGGAAAUUAAUAUGAAGGUAGUGUAUGGUGACAUAUACAUACGUUGAUGACCACUUACUUUGACUGAGACAGUGUUUGUUGGUUUCUUCCCCCAAAACAGCAAAAGAUUGUUUACAAAAAAAUAUACGAAAUGCAAACAUCAAAUAUUUACAAGACCGUAGAGCGUCAAAUUCUGCAGAUAUUCCCGUGUAGGUGUCAAAUUAAAAUGUGAUUAUUACAGUCUGAAACACAGUCAAUUACCGUGGAAUGGGGGGGUGGGGGUGUCACCAUUGCUGGAUAUUCCCCCCGUACUCAUUCCAUUCACAAUGUUCGGAAGUUUCCCGGCGGCCCACUGAUUGACUCACGGUCAUGUGACAUACGUGAAGCCGUCCUGUUGCGCACUGACGUCAGGGAGGGCUUUCCUGCAGAGACGUCGUUUCCUAGGAAACGAUCAGGGACGGUGGGUCUGCGGUGAAGUGGACGGUCUCCACUGUGGGAAUCGGCCUCUCCUCUUCCUGCACACGGAACAGUGAGUGUCUGUCAGCGCCUCACCGCACCCGCUCUUUGCCUCAGGUGACUGCAGAGCCAAACACCCGAGUAAUUACAUUGCCAAGUUCGCUGAUGAGAGGACAGUGGAGGAGCUCAUCAUCAGCAACGAUGAGAUUGCGUACGGAGGAAGUGGAAGAGCUUGAGGCCUGGUACCAGGCAAGUAACCUUUUGCUUAGUGUCAUCAAGACAUAGGAGGUGGUUCUCGACUUCAGGAGAACUCCCACCUCACACCUUUCUUUAGGUCGGCAGAUCACUAAAAUAUGUCAAUGUGGCAAUGUACUACGUACAGAGCUAGAAACAAUGACACGCAGUCAGUAAGUCGUUUCAAGACUAUUUGAUUCAAACUUCGCGGCGCUGGCUUUUUAAUCCCUAGCUCCUGCCCUCUCCGGGCAGAAAUAACGUCAGAGGUGCAUUACCAAAAUCUUUCCCCGCGCUCGGGCUAUUUGUGAGCCAGUUCACCUGUGCAGAAAGUGGGUCGCUACAUCAAUUUCAUUUGAUCACACGAAUCUUUACUAAAUAACUUGUUAUUUCUGCAUUUAUCACAGAUUCCUGCACCUCACCAACCAUAGAUGUGAAGUUAACAGGACCACAGUUACUUGGUUUUGUCUUCCGCCCUAUUUCAACAAUUGAUUUCCAAUCCACUGAGACCUUCCUGGCACACAUUUUUGUUUCUCAUCACUGGUUCCUGAAAAAUUCCCACUCCUGUCGUCUACCAGCAGCCGUUGCCUCUUCAUCUGUUCUUCGAUUUUGUAUUUUCCUCUACUGUACUUGGUUGAUUAGUUUAAUCAAUACAUGGACUGAGGCAAACACAGACAAGAUGCUGGAGGAACUCAGCAGAGACUUGACAUUUCAGCCUGAGAACCUUCAUCAGUAGGAGGACAAGGGCAUCCAGGACAUCACCAAUUACAGGACAACAUCUCCUGACUGUGCAGGUGAUGCCUCCCUCCCAGAUGCGCUGAAUAACUUGUACGCCUGGCUUGAGGCAGAAAAUGACAUGGCGGCGAGGAUGUCCACCCCUUCUACAAAUGACCAGGUGCUGUGUCUCACCGUGGCCGAGCAGGGUCAACCCACGGAAGUCUGCUGGACCAGACAACAUUCCUGGUAAAGUGCUCAGAGGAUGUGCAGACCAUCUAGCAGACGUUCUCACUGACAUCUUCAACAUUUCCCUGCACAGCGCCACAGUUCCAACAUGCUUCAAGGUCACCACCAUCGUCCCUGUGCCAAAGAAUUCUUCAGUGUCCUGCCCAAGUGACUAGCGUCCCAUUGCACUUACAUCCAUCAUCCUGAAGUUUUUCGAGAGGCUCGUCAUGAGGCAUAUCAAGACCCUGCUGCCCCCCUCACUGGACCCCCUGCAGUUUGUGUACUGUCCCAUCCGCUCAACAUAUGACACCAUUGCCACCACCAUCCACCUGGCCCUAACCCACAUGGACAAAAACAACAUAUAUGUUCGGAUGCUGUUCAUAGACUUCAGUUCAGCGUUCAACACAAUCACCCUCAGAAACUGAUUGGAAAGCUGAACACCUCCCUCAGCAACUGGAUCCUAGACUUCCUGACUGGGAGACCUCAGUCAGUCUGUUUUGGCAGCAGCAUCUCCAACACCAUCACACUGAGCACGGGGGCCCCCUAGGGCUGCUAACCCACAGCUGUGCUCCAACACACAGCUCGAACCACAUCAUCAAGUUCACCAAUGACAUGAACGUGGUGGGUCUCAUCAGCAAGAAUGACGAGUCAGCUUACAGAGAGGAGUUACAGCAGCUAACGGACUGGUGCAGAGCCAUCAACCUGUCUCUUAAUGUGAACAAAACAAAAGAGAUGGUUGUUGACUACAGGAGGGCUCAGAGCGACCACUCCCUGCUGAACAUCGACAGCUCCUCGGUAUAGAUCGUUAGGAGCACCAAAUUUCUUGGUGUUCGUCUGGUGAAGAAUCUCACCUGGUCCCUCAACACCAGCUCCAGAGCAAAGAAAGUCCAGCAGCGACUCUACUUUCUGCGAAGGCUGAGGAAAGUCCAUCUCCCACCCCCCAUUUUCAUCACAUUGAGAGCAUCAUGAGUAACUGCAUCACUGCCAAUUUCUGAAAUUGCACCAUCUCAGAUCACGAGACCCUGCAGCAGAUAGUGAGGUAAGCUGAGAAGAUCAUUGGGGACUCUCUUCCUGCUAUCACGGACAUUUACAUGACACACUGCAACCGCAAAGCAAACAGCAUUAUGAAGGUCCCUGUGCACCCCUCAUACAAUAUCUUCUCCCUCCUGCCGUUUAGGAAAAGGCUCCAAAGCAUUCAGACUCUCACGACAAGACUAUGUAACAGUUUCUUCCCCCAAGCUAUCAGACAUCUCAAUACCCAGAGCCUGGACUGACACCUUGCCCUGUUGCCCUGUUUAUUAUUUAUUGUAAUGCCUGCACCUUUUUUGUGCACUUUACGCGGUCCUGUGUAGGUCUGUAGUCCAGUGUAGCUUUCUCUGUCUUGUUUAUUUAUGUAGUUCAGUCUAGUUUUUGUACUGUGUCAUGUAACACCGUGGUCCUGAAAAACAUUGUCUCAUUUUUACUAUGAACUGUACCAGCAGUUAUAGUCGAAAUUACAAUAAAAGUGGCUUGACUUGA